GGAGAAUCACUUGAACCUGGGAGGCGGAGGUUGCAGUGAGCCAAGAUUGUGCCACUGCACUCCAGCCUGGGUGACAAGAGUGAAACUCUGUCUGAAAAGAAAGAAAGAAAGAAAAAGAAAGAAAGGAAAGAAGGAAGGAAGAAAAGAAAGAAAGAAAGAAAAAGAAAGAAAGGAAGGAAGAAAAGAAAGAAAGAAGGAACUAAGUGAAGAAGGAAGGAAGGAAGGAAAGAAGGAACUAAGUGAAGAAAGAAGGAAGGAAGGUAGGAAGGAAGGAAGGAAGAUACUAAGUGUCUCCAUCCUACAACUAGCAAGUGAUAGAACCAGUAUCAUACCCAAGACCACCUCUCUGAGAGUGACCUCUCCUGGCUUACACUGCAUGCAUUCCCUCACCUGCAUGAUCUCAGCAUGCUUUUCAAUGCAGCCUCCAAAUGGCUUUGUAGAAGGUCUGAUCUUGGCUCCUAGAUGAUUUCUUGCAAGUUUCAGUCAAGUUCUUCAGACACAUGUGUCUCUCUUGCCUAUAUAUGUUCUUACUAUUUUCCUAGGAUGAUUUGGAAGUGGU
rnacentral:lncRNA from 1 species